rnacentral:misc_RNA from 1 species
AAGUCGUAACAAGGUUUCCGUAGGUGAACCUGCGGAAGGAUCAUUAACAAAUUGUAUCCAAUUUGCAACCGUGUUCUGUAUAUUGUCUUCUGGCAAGAUUAGUAGGGGGGUCGUCUUCUCUACUGCUUGCCAGUCUUUUUAAAUCCAUAAUUAACUUUCUGAUCUCUUAAUUCAUGUGAGAAAUCUCUCAUGAACUUAACUGAUACAACUGUUAACAACGGAUCACUUGGUUCUCA